rnacentral:tRNA from 1 species
AUUUAUAUAGUUUAAAUUAAACAUUACAUUUUCAUUGUAAAAUUGAAAUUCAAUUUCUAUAAAUA